UGUCUAGUAAACAGGAGAUCCUGGGUUCGAAUCCCAGCGGUGCCUGAGUGCUACCUUUUCUUCUUUUUUGCACGACCCUUUUUGUUUUGCGAGCCCUCUCACAGAACCGUUCCUCUGUCAGCGCGGAAGACAUUUUAGCGGAAGACGUUGUGUUCCCUGCUAGCCUUUGCCUCCUUGAGGUCGGCCAAAUCGCUGUCCCCUGAGUGCUUCCACAGGGGUGACAAGUCUCCACAGCCUCUUGGCUUCGCUGAGCAUUGCUCUUGGCUUCGCUGAGCACUGCAAAGCAUGCUGAUUUUUCCUCCCGGAAUCCGCGCAGUGGGUAGCAACAAUCUGCAUACUGAGAACAGCUUGGCGAGGCUGAGUAAAGUCCCAAAAUGGAGGUCUGUAGCAUCAAAUCCGAUCGUCAAUCUACAUCUACAGCAUGCAUAAAAAUCCAAAUGGCUAGGUGCUCCCGUGUGGGGCCCGAUUCUAAGGCCUGGGCUGUGGUUGCCAAGAGCACAGGCACAUGGGAACCCCUUGAGAGCAUUUGCGACCAGGGCUUUGGAAGGUGGGGGAGACUUUGAAGUUUUAAAGAAUGUUCCCCAGGGAUACACCUAAAUCCAAACAAAACACACAAUGAUAAACCCAGCGAGCUUUAGAAAAUGCAGGAGCCACGUGAGGCGGUGUUCCUAAUGCAGAUAUUUUGACUCACAAUUGAAGUUACAACCUUAUAAACCAUUUAAAACCAUCUUAAGGACUGGCGAGACGGCUCAGUGGAUAAAUGUCCUUGUUGCUAACCCUGGACGUCCUGAGUUCAAUUCCUGGGUCUAACAGGGUGGAAGAUGAGAACUGACCCUCGAAAACUGUCCUCCGGCCUGUGGGUCCACAUGUACGCCGCGGCUCACGUAUGAGCACAAAUGUGUUCACAACAAAUAGCUGCACAGGGACAGAGGACCUGGAAGUCAUCUGAUUGGCCGAACAUUCCUGCCACCCCACCCAACUCCCAGCAGUAAGCAAAGCCAGAAAUGAGAAUCACGCCCUUAUUAACCUACCUUGUCUCUGCUCCUUAAAAACCUACACAGGUCUUCCUGCCUCAGAGACUUUGAAUUUAGGGUGGUGGGGGCUCGGAAUGCUGUUUCCCGGGUAGUCUGUGGGGAAACCCAUCCCAUCAGAGAUCUUUCAGUCAGUGUGUCAUCUCUCUGGAAGAACUCCUGUUACCAUCUUUGGCUCAGCCUCUCCAAGGCCCCCAACGCAGCCUCUUGUUUGUCACCCACAACAGCACAUCACUAACCGUAAGAACUUUGUAAAAAGAUUUAACUUCUAGUGCCUUGAGUUUUAACUUUGCCAUGAUGAUAAUGGAAUGAUGCUCUGAAACUAUAAGCCACCCCAAUUAAAUGCCUUCCUUUAUAAGAGUUGCCUCUUUUCACAGCAAAGGAAACCCUAAUGAAGACAAAAUUUGGUACCAGGAGUGGGGUAUUGCUGUGCGAGGCCUGACGAUGCUUUUGUUUGGAGGAAUGUGGAUUUGGGAACUUUGGAUUAGGAAAGCAGUUGAACUUUUUAAGUGGGGCUUAAUGCACCAUCCUAGAAGGAGCAUGGAAGACAGGUGCGCUGAGAAUGAUUUGAAUUUGGGGGCCUGGCUCAAGAGGUUUCAGAGAAGAAUUUUAGUAUGUGGUCUAGAGACUGUUAUUAUGAUAUCUUGUCAAAGAAUAUAGCUGCCUUUUCUCCUUUUCUGAAAAGUCUGCCUGAGGCUAAACUGAAGAGUUUUGGUUAGUUAAGUUGGCAGAGGAAAUUUCAAAACAUCCUAGUCUUGACUCUGUCCUGUGGUUAUUACUGUUCACUCUUAUGAAGAUCUGUAAUGAAAAAGAGCAAGCUGAGCAAAGACAGCUACAAAAUGUGCAGUAUGUGGGGAAGAGAGGAACCAGGAAGUGGAACGAAGUGAAGUCCUACGCUUAAGGAGAUAAACAGAGUAAAGAAAAACCUGAUGUUAAAUGAAAUAAAGGCAAGGCCCCACCCAACUAUGCUUCCAACCUGCAAAAAGGAACUAAAGAGCUAGUUUCAGAACAGCCAAGUUUAGGCAGCAAAGGAAACCAUUGAAAACAGAAAGUUGGAGAAGAUGUAAUUGAAUGAAGGGGUUGGGGCAUGUUCCAGCCCCAGCAAGCAGCAGAACUUGCCAGCUUCAGCCACAUGGUUCUGGCUUUAGAAUCAAGGAUAGAAGAAGUGGUUAUAGAAUCUCUGUGACUAAGGAAAGCCUCUGAGGCCAGGCACAUGUCAGGGGUGGCCUGUCAUGGAGGCCCAGAGAGGCCACUGUGUGAAGCUGUAAAGAUGAAGCCUGGAUUGCCUUGGAGACCCCAAGAUAUUGGAGAUGCCAGAGUCAUGUGAUACCUGCCAAGGAGAGCUGCUAACAGGGUAUGGAACCAGCCUAAGAGAGAGACGCAUGUUGCAGUCAACAAAGCUGAAAGGAGUUGGGGAUCUGAAGACAUCAGACAUGGAGAUGCAGAUUUUGGAGUGUGCCCAGCUGGUUUUCAGUCUUGCUUUGGUCCAGUGUUUCCUCACAGUGCUCCCUCCUCCAUUUGGAAUAAUGAUGUGAAUCCUGUGCUGUUAUAUAUUGGAAGUAUGUGACUAUGGUUUAGAUUUUAUAGGGGAUUACAGUUAGAAGAUUGCAUGAGACUCAGAAGAAACUUUGAACUUUCACAGGGUUGAGACUGUUACAGACUAUGGGGACUUCUGCAGUUGGACUAAACACAUUUUGCAUUAUAAUAUGGAUACACACACAUGCACAGACACACACAUGCACAGACACACACAUACACAGACACACACACACAUAUAUAUAUAUGUACAUAUAUAUACAUAUGUAUAACCUAUAUAUCAGGAAGUGUAAUGUAGUAGUUUGAAUAAAACUGGCCCCCAUAGGCACAUAGUGACACUAUUAGGAGGUGUGGCCUUGUUGGAGGAAGCAUGUCUCAGUUUCUCCUUGCUGCCUGCUGAUCUGGAUGUUGAACUCUCAGCUCCUUCUCCAGCACCAUGUCUGCCUGUUCACUGAUCUGUUCCCCGCCAUGACGAUAUUGGACUAAACCCCUGAAACAGCAAGCCAGCCCCAAUGAAAUGUUCUCCUUUAUAAGAGUUGCCAUGGUUACAGUGUCUCUUCACAACAACAAAAUCCAAACUAAGAUAGUAAUUUUAAAAAGAUUUUAAAAGAUUUUAAAAAGAUUUUCAUGUUUGUGAGUGCCUGUAUUUUGUUAUCCAUGUGUAUGCAGUACCCAUGGAGGCCAGAAGAGGGGGCCAGUGUGGUGAAAAUGGAACCCUGAUCCUCUGCAGGA